UACGGGGGGGAGCAAGCGUUGUUCGGAUUUACUGGGCGUAAAGGGCGCGUAGGCGGCCACGACAAGUCAGUUGUGAAAUCUCUGGGCUUAACUCAGAACGGUCAACUGAUACUGUCGGGCUAGAGUGCAGAAGGGGCAACUGGAAUUCUCGGUGUAGCGGUGAAAUGCGUAGAUAUCGGGAGGAACACCAGUGGCGAAGGCGACUACCUGGCCUGUUCUUGACGCUGAGGCGCGAAAGCUAGGGGAGCAAACGGG
rnacentral:rRNA from 1 species